rnacentral:lncRNA from 7 species
GAGAGCUAAUCUAUCCAAAACCAAUAUCACAGCCCCAGCACAGGCUGGACUCGGGCCAGAUGGGAGCCGGGAACAGCUUUUGUGACAAUGAUGGAUGCGGUGUAGCUGCCGAUGGAUGGAGAGCAGACAUCCCCUUGUAUCCUUCCAGACCACUCCAGCAUUCAGUCCUGUGCUACCAUCCUGCCUGAAGGAAGAUGGAUCCAGGAAUACAACAACUGCAGGGUACUUUGCACAAUGCCACGGAUCAUGCCAUACCUGCACCUGAUGCACAAGCAUCACUUUGGGACACAGUCCGGGGGAAAAGGCCUCUGAGCAACUCAUGUGGGAGCGUGCAGAACGUCCAUGACCAAAAUGCUGCUGUGGUGCUGAGCAUUCCCCCAAACCCAACAGGAGGGGCUGGAAGGGCAGGCUGCAGGAUUAGUUUAUUUGUUGGACAAGAAUUAUCUUAAUCCGGUAGAUGUCCUUCAACAAGUUAUAAACAAGAGCAACGUCUUUCCGCCAAUGGAUUUCGUUUAACUGGCUCUGAUAAUUUAGGAGAUGUUUGCAGUUCUGAGUCCCUUACAGUAAUGACAUGGCCAAAUAAAUUAACAU